rnacentral:ncRNA from 1 species
UUUAAAUAUUGGCAAAUCAGUCGAAAGGCUGGGACGCAAAACUACAGGGGCUACCAUCCAAUAAGGAUAUGCCAGCCAGUUGCACAC